AACUUGCGGAAGGAUCAU
rnacentral:rRNA from 1 species